AUUGAACGCUGGCGGCAUGCCUUACACAUGCAAGUCGAACGGUAACAGGCCUUCGGGUGCCGACGAGUGGCGCACGGGUGAGUAAUACAUCGGAACGUGCCCAAUGGUGGGGGCUAACGAAGCGAAAGCUUUGCUAAUACCGCAUGCGAUCUGCGUAUGAAAGCGGGGGACCGCAAGGCCUUGCUCGGCCUGGGCGGCCGAUGGCAGAUUAGGUAGUUGGUGGGAUAAAGGCGUACCAAGCCGACGAUCUGUAGCUGGUCUGAGAGGAUGAGCAGCCACACUGGGACUGAGACACGGCCCAGACUCCUACGGGAGGCAGCAGUGGGGAAUUUUGGACAAUGGGCGCAAGCCUGAUCCAGCAAUGCCGCGUGCAGGAUGAAGGCCUUCGGGUUGUAAACUGCUUUUGUACGGAACGAAAAGGCUCUUUUUAAUACAGGAGGCUAAUGACGGUACCGUAAGAAUAAGCACCGGCUAACUACGUG
rnacentral:rRNA from 1 species